CCUACGGGUGGCAGCAGUGGGGAAUAUUGCGCAAUGGGCGAAAGCCUGACGCAGCGACGCCGCGUGAGGGAUGAAGGUCUUCGGAUCGUAAAGCUCUAUCAGCAGGGAAGAAAAAAGACGGUACCUGACUAAGAAGCCCCGGCUAACUACGUGCCAGCAGCCGCGGUAAUACGUAGGGGGCAAGCGUUAUCCGGAUUUACUGGGUGUAAAGGGAGCGUAGACGGCAAUACAAGUCGGAAGUGAAAUACCCGGGCUCAACCUGGGAAUUGCUUUGGAAACUGUAUGGCUGGAGUGCUGGAGAGGUAAGCGGAAUUCCUAGUGUAGCGGUGAAAUGCGUAGAUAUUAGGAGGAACACCAGUGGCGAAGGCGGCUUACUGGACAGUAACUGACGUUGAGGCUCGAAAGCGUGGGGAGCAAACAGGAUUAGAUACCCGAGUAGUC
rnacentral:rRNA from 1 species